AGGGUGCGAUGCAGCCCGACAUUGCUCAUUUUCCUAUAACAGCGUGCCCUGGAGGGCUUUAUUUCUGUAACAUCACAGCAAUAACUGAUCAAUGAACUGCACAGCGUACUUUAUCAGUUUGUAAAGACAUUUAAUAUUGCGGACAAGAGAGACAAGUUCAUGUUAUCACUUCGCAGCUAUAAAUAGUUGCUCCCGCUCCAGACUUUCUUUUUCUCUCGCAAAGUGAAUAAAACAACAACAAAAUAAUACAUGCAUCUUCCCAUGUUACAUCAGUAUGCUCAGUCCUAAAGACGACCGGUGGAAAAAUGACUGACUAUUACAGAGUGCUAACACUGGAGACUUUUUCUUUUCCAUAAAUGUUGAACAAACAUCUUCCAGAAAAUGUCACAUCAAUGAUUAAAAGCGUUCUUCGUUAAAUACAAUUUUUUAAUCAUUCGGCUUAGAUUACAUGAAGAGUAUGCCAUCGAAGUCGUUGUUACUAUAGAAACCAGUACAUAUCAGAGCACAUAAAUAUAAGCACUGCUGUCAGAAAAAAUGAAUUCGAAUUGUCUGACCAAUCAGAAUCGAGAAUCGAACAGUGGUGUGGUAUAACCGUUUUCCAUUCAAGACAUUUCCUCUCUAAAUAAAACGUGGGACGUUUUGUAAAAUUUACCUAUAGCACUGUGUCUCAUCCUCUCUCACACCAUUUCUCUUCCCCUUCCUGUCUGCAGGUAAACAUUAUUUCUCUUGAGUCAGACAGUGUUGUGAAGGAGAAAUUCCAGGGGAAAGGUGGACUCAAGCUGUGAAAAGCGACCACCACAUUCACCAGGGUACUUUAUUUUCAAGCUCCAGCAACUAAGAAGAAAGGAGAGAAUGAGAGGGAGGGAAAUAAGAAGGUACUUUAUAUUUUGAAGGCUUGGGUGAAAAAGAGACUUUGGAAAGAAACUUCAGAUUAAUAGAGGUCAACGAUGUGGAUUUAAAAAAAAACAACAAAAAGCAACAACAUUAACAUAGACAUCAACUUAUAAAUUAAAUAAGAACAAGCCAGUCAAGGACACUGCGUUAGGGAUUUGGUUGUUUUUUUUUCUCCUCCCUGUGUGAAAUAUUCUCCACCACUCACCCGGAUACCUGGAAACCACAGGGACACAAAGCCAGCCAAUCAGCCCUCAUGGGAACUAGAGCCCUGGCCUCUGAUUGGUCAUGUGUGCCCCCUAAGCUCAUUAUUAUAUCAGCGUGUCCUUCACUGUGUUGUCUGGCUACUAUCAGGCCAACGACGUGCCAGCGCUCUCCCCCACAAACAACAUUUUAUUGGAGGAGAAACAGACAGAAAGUGGAUUACUGACAACCAGAAAAUAAGGAUAAAAAAAUACUUAAGUUGUAGAGAUGAGAGAAGAAAUCCAUCUAAUGAUAAUAACACACACAAAAACACGGACCUGGAAAAAGCAUUAAUCAGCAUUUAUCCAUAUGCAAAACAUUCAAGUUCGAAUGUAUAUUUGACAUGCAAAUAUCUGUACAACGUCCGUGUUCACAAACACUGACAACAUGCACGCUCACUGUGAGGACCUUCCACUGGCAAAUCCACUCAUUGUAGCUAAAUAAUACUUUGCCUACAACUAAAUACAACAACCUCAGUAACUAAAAUAUUUUGACACUUAAAUUUUUAAAUAAAAGCUGUAAAAACAAAACAAAAACAAAGAAAAAACUGUUUUUCCUCAUGGGGACCAGCCAAAUGUCCCCAUAAGGCCAAAGCACACACACACACACACACCUGUUGUGGUUGUCUUGAAUAAAGGAACACACACAGACGCUUUCAUCCUUUGCCGUCUCUAAAGUAAAUGAGCUACAGUAAUUGUUUCAUUAUGACUGUCUAUUGAAAUCGUUUCCCUUUUCUCUCCUCCUCCCUUUGUUCUUCACAUCCGGGCUCCUCAUUUCCUUGUUUUUCUCCUGUCAUGUGCUGUUUUUUACUACUAACCUGGUCACCACCUACUAGACCUCCAACACACUCUCACAUGUCUGUAAGGUAAAUAAAACUCAGCAUGACAGUGUUUGUAUUUUUAACAACUUCUUAAGUAAUACAACUUAACUCGCUCUCAGAUCAGUUCUUUCCUCCAUUACUCGAUAUCCACAUCGGGUCAUUCUUUUCUAUAUUUACAGUUCGGACAAUAACAGCAAUCAUGGAAGAGAACAGCCUUCACAUGCAUCAAAGUUGCUAGACCUUUCGGUUCUGGCUAUGAAAAACCACAACACAAGCAGAAGAAGACAUUUUAACAUGACUAGUUCCCAACCCUGGUGCUGGAGCACAGUUAAGUGUUCCCCCUGGUGCUGGAGCACAGUUAAGUGUUCUCCCAGGUGCUGGAGCACAGUUAAGUGUUCUCCCAGGUGCUGGAGCACAGUUAAGUGUUCUCCCAGGUGCUGGAGCACAGUUAA
ensembl:lncRNA